UGAGGAAUAUUGGACAAUGGGCGCAAGCCUGAUCCAGCCAUGCCGCGUGCAGGAUGACGGUCCUAUGGAUUGUAAACUGCUUUUGUACAGGAAGAAACAGUUCUACGUGUAGAACCUUGACGGUACUGUAAGAAUAAGGAUCGGCUAACUCCGUGCCAGCAGCCGCGGUAAUACGGAGGAUCCAAGCGUUAUCCGGAAUCAUUGGGUUUAAAGGGUCCGUAGGCGGUUAGAUAAGUCAGUGGUGAAAGCCCAUCGCUCAACGGUGGAACGGCCAUUGAUACUGUCUGACUUGAAUUAUUAGGAAGUAACUAGAAUAUGUAGUGUAGCGGUGAAAUGCCUAGAGAUUACAUGGAAUACCAAUUGCGAAGGCAGGUUACUACUAAUGGAUUGACGCUGAUGGACGAAAGCGUGGGUAGCGAACAGGAUUAGAUACCCCGGUAGUCCCUGAGCGGGCUGGCAAGGCGCAU
rnacentral:rRNA from 1 species